CGUAGGAGCAAGCGUUAUCCGGAUUUAUUGGGUGUAAAGGGUGCGUAGACGGGAAAUUAAGUUAGUUGUGAAAUCCCUCGGCUUAACUGAGGAACUGCAACUAAAACUGAUUUUCUUGAGUGCUGGAGAGGAAAGUGGAAUUCCUAGUGUAGCGGUGAAAUGCGUAGAUAUUAGGAGGAACACCAGUGGCGAAGGCGACUUUCUGGACAGUAACUGACGUUGAGGCACGAAAGUGUGGGAGCAAACAGGAUU
rnacentral:rRNA from 1 species